UCCAAGCUGGUCUCCACCUUCACCGAGCAAUCAUCCCUUUCGGCUCUUUCUUUUUCAUUUCGUCCUUUUCGCAAUUUCAUUCUGCCGUUCCCUUCCUCCGACCGAGCAAAUCCUGUUUCAUUCGAGCACCUCACUCCACGCUGCCACUUGGCCGCGUUUGCAUCUUCGCCGGUCAACAAACCAGCACCGAAGCCCCCAAAGCUUACCGAAAUCUCCGCUCCCUGAAGCAGCUGCCACCCGUCCGCUUUUCCUCAUCUUCGGUCAUUUAGUGGAGCCUCUCCACCGGUGUGUCUUCUCCAGCAGCGACCAGUGCAGCCUAUGAUCUCUACCUCACUGCCGCGUGCCGUCUUCACGCGUCCAGUCAACCCAGCAGCAAACGAAGUCCGCCGUUGACGCCGGUUUCAUCGAUUCAUCCGCUGCUUCUGUUUCCGUUUCAACCUUUGCCUCUCCGCCUGUUCCAUCACCGAAGCAAGUUGCCCCGCGUCGUCUCUCUCCUUCGGCCACGACUUCAGCACCAGAGUUUCUUCGAGUCAGCUGCUGCCUCCAUCGAAGACAUCCCGUGAAACAGCAACGUCGUUCGAAGCCGUGAGUCCACCGAAACAGCUUCCUCCGUGCGCCAGCGUCCAUUCAGCCCGUGAGUGACAGCCCAACGUUCGGCCUCUUCAGCCCAGCGUUUUCAGAUCUUCGGCCCAGCAAAUUUUCAACGGUCCAGCAGUUGGGCCCGUCCACGAGCCCAAGUAAAUUUCGAUUAGCCCAAGCUGCAGCAAGCCCAAGAGUCCAGCAAAGCCCAGUGGAAUCAGCAGCCCAGCUCAGCCCAUUAAAUAAGUCCAUCAGCCCAAGUCUUUGGCCCAAAAAUCCAGCAGCCCCAUUGAGCCCAAUUCAGCAAGUUCGGCCCAAGUCCAGCCCUCGAAGAAGGCCCAAUCGCAGCCAAGCCCAAGCCCAAGAGUGAGCCCAGUCUAGUGCAAGAACAAAUCUCAGUUGGGCUGAGAUUUGUUGGGCCAAGUUCAAGGCCCGAUCCAAGCCCACUAGUGUUGUCGAAAGUCCGAUUUCGGCCGCCGUCGCGCCGCCGUUGCGGUGUCCCGGUCCCCGCUUUUAAUCAAAACCCUGAUGAGGAGCCUGAGGAGAAAGAAACUGAAGAGGAGUACCUGGAGGAGAACCCCGAUGAUGAUCUGAGUACGAAUCGGAUGAGGAUUGAGAUCCCAUCCUCUGUUGUGAAUCCUGUCUAAACGUGAAUAGUGUGAGACUAGACCUUUGUGAAUAGUAUGUUUGCAUAUCAAACAAAGGAUGAGCACCAUCAAGCCUUAAAAGUAUAAUCAACGUGGAGCUGAUAUGAUGCAGCCCGCAUUGAAGACCAGCUCUCUUGACCAAGAAGAUCGGCCCGCAUUCAAGCUCGACGAAACCGUUAAGCCAU